CAGGACUCAUAAGCCUGGGGUCGGCGGUUCGAAUCCGCCUCUCGCUA
rnacentral:tRNA from 1 species